CCUACGGGAGGCAGCAGUAGGGAAUUUUGCGCAAUGGGCGAAAGCCUGUCGCAGCAACGCCGCGUGAUUGAUUAAGCCCUUCGGGGUGUAAAGAUCUGUCAGGGGGGACGAAACUUGACGGUACCCACAGAGGAAGGACCGGCUAACCCCGUGCCAGCAGCCGCGGUAAGACGGAGGGUGCAAGCGUUGUCCGGAAUCAUUGGGCGGAAAGAGGUCGUAGGUGGCAUAUUAAGUCUGGUGUUAAAUCCAGAAGCUCAACUUCUGUUCGGCACUGGAUACUGGUUAGCUUUAAUGCGGUAGAGGUAAAGGGAAUUCCUGGUGUAGCGGUGAAAUGCGUAGAUAUCAGGAGGAACAUCGGUGGCGAAGGCGCUUUACUGGGCCAUAAUUGACACUGAGGAACGAAAGCCGGGGUAGCAAAUGGGAUUAGAUACCCUUGUAGUC
rnacentral:rRNA from 1 species